AUGCAAGAAAUUGUUUGUGGGUGUAUGGGAAAGGAUGGGGUGGAGAACAUGAGGUCUUGCCGAUGCGAGAGUCCUGCACUGAUACAACAGUUGCGCUCAAAAGACCAUUUGUCGUCUCCUAUGUACAAACAAACAAUACACUGGCCCUCCCACAAUGUGUACAGUAAGGAUUUGGUUGAGCAGCAGCGGCAGGACAAUGUGAACCUUGCAAAGGUCUACAUCAUUAUUGGCAGUUUUUUUGGAUCUAUGAAAAGAAUACCUUUCACGAAAAGAGCUUUGAAGAAUUUGUGUGGUAGAAUAAGCAGAGAGCAAGGAGAGGAUGAUGUGAGAAAAACCAUGGAGGCUUUUGCAGAACUGGUUCAAGAGAUCCACACUUUACAUAUUGUGUGCAUGUUGACAAAGAUCGACAGAUAA
rnacentral:rRNA from 1 species